rnacentral:lncRNA from 10 species
ACUGAGGAAGAAUAUAAGUUAGCCUCGUAGUGACCAUGUGGAAGUCCUGACCUCGCUUGCAGACUUGACCUCUGGAUGUGACAAGGUGAGGUUCUGUGUUCACUGAUACAUCCCCUUCCUUCACCGGGCUCAUGAAAAGAAAUGCUGAAUCAGCAAAUAGAGUGAACGAACAAUCAAGAUGAGAUGGCUGCUGUUGAUGUGAUUCUCUAGGUUACUACCUUUCUUCCUGCUGCAAAUGCUGCAUGACACUAAGCUUACAGGAUCUAGAAGCAGACUACAAAAAAAGAAGAAAUUCACUCUGAAGACUGAAGAAACACUAGGCUGAUCUUAAGUUUCCGAAAUACACUCUGUAACACUACACUGAUUCUUUGAAUCUCUUGCAAAAAGAAUCAAACCAGGACAAAGUUCAACAGAUAACUGGUCAAAUGCUUAGGAAUGUCUAUGUCCACCAAGAAUAUGGAACCAUUAAUGCCAUGCUUCAGGUAAACUUGUUACAAAAUUUAGUCUUCGAUAAAUUAGUCUCUGCAAAUGAUUUACCAUUGCUCUACAUUAGUAAGCUGAAUGUUUCACUAACAAAUAAGAAAAUAAAAUAUUUCAUGUUUUUACAGCUAACAACUUAGUAAUACCUACUCAGAGUACAUACUUCUUUAUGUACCCAUAUGAACAUACAAUGCUAUGGAAUGUAAAGAAGUAUGUAUUUUUGGUAGGCAAUAAACCACCAAGGGAGAAUUAAACUGAGCUAAAAGAAGCUCUUGCUUCUUUCUACGUGAAUGACCGUCAUAUGGUAAAUUAACCUAGUCAUGAACAGAUGACCUUUGGCAAUACUAACACCAAAAAAAAAAGGUUAUCUACUACUGAUAGAUAGAAACUAUCCCUAAGGUUUUUAUUUCAUGAAGGAAAAGAAGAUCCAGUGAAGUAGAUUUCAAUUAUCAUGAAACUCCUUUUAAAUCAUCUAAGUUUAAAACAGACAUCUUACAUUUUUAAAUUAGGCACUCUCAUUAUUAAAAUUUGACUGCAAAAGGGAAAAUAGUAUUACUAGCACAAAAGAAUGAGGAAUACACAUGACCUAUUUUCUGUCUCCACAAUUUAAUCUUAAGUAUAUCUCAUUAGUAGGGCUCACUGAUUUGUACAGAAAAAUAAGAUACUAAGAGCUGGCUUCAUUCACAUAAUAAGCUAUUUCUUCUCAUUUUGAUAAAUGUAUAAUUAAUAUUAGAGGAAUUUCUGACCAAAAGUUUUGUUGUUUUAAAAAGGCUUUCUUUUUUGACAGCUACAAACAUAGUGGCCCUUGUCCUUCCUUCUCAAGUUUAUCAGGGUCUUAACCCAAAUCUCUACUUUAAAUGUGAAGUUAAAACUUAAAAUUAAUUAAAAUGUAAGAUUUAAGCAUGAAAAAUGACAAAAUUCUGGUCCACAGCUGUAAGUCAGCAGGGUAUAUUGGUAACAGACUACCAAAUAUUUAAAAGAAAUUAAUUUAUCUGUAUUAUCUUCGAAUUUGCUUUCUCCAAAGAGGGCAUGUAAAAUGAAAGCACUAUAGUCAAGAACCAAUUUAUACAGAUCGAAGAACUGUUUUUAUUGUACUAUGCAAUUACAAUUCAAUUUCUCUAAACUUGAUCAAUCCAUUGUUUAGAAAUAUCAAAAUACUUUUAUUUCACACAGUUUGUAUAUUAUUUAUAAAAAAUUCCAAAUAAUGCUCUUAGCAAAAUUUAUAAGCAGUACCUGUUUUAAGCUACUAAUGACAAAGUUAGAAAAUAAGAGUAAUAUUCACAUAUUCUAACCAUUUCUUACUAAAAGUAUUAUUUCAACUGAAAUAUUUACACAUGUAUAAAAGCAUAAUAUUUUAAAUUUUUUGUAUCAGAAAUUGAAUGGAAAUGACUAAGUUUAACUAUAGUUCAUUUUCUGUUUAAUAAGACUAGUUAAUACAAAGAUGAUUUUCAUUUUAUCAGAUUAUAAAGAAUGAGAAUGACUUACACAUGGCAUCAUAUGUGUUACUGCAUGUUUACUGGAAAUUAUAAAAGGCACAUAAUUUUAAAAUUCUACACUUUCAAAGAAAUUAGUUCAAAGCUUAACUCACAUAAGCAUAGCCCUUCUGAUCAUCCACAAAACAGAAUGGCAAUGAUUCAUGUUCUAUUUGGUAAGUUUACCUGUAUAGGUCCUAAAUACCAAGAACUCAAAAUAUAUACCUCAAAAGUAGAGGUUCUUCUAUAAAAAUACUCAAAGCUUAUUACUCUACUUGUGUUUUAUAAUAAACAGUUAUAUUGGUCAUUCUAUAGGUAUACAAGUUGUUUAAUAAUCCUUCUCAAACAUCCUAGCAACUAAGACUCUCUUUGCUAUAAUAUUAAGACUAUAUAAAUAAUCCUUAGAAAAUAAAAUGACAGGCUAUUCAUUUUUAAAAGUAAAAUUAUAUGCUGAUUCUGGUGCUUGCGAGUUUAACUUAUCUAAGAGUAUUUUCAAUCACUCUAAAAUGUCACAUCUAUCACUUAGAUCAGCUGUUCAUUUUUAACUGAGUACAUAUUAAACUCUGGGCAUCUGCUGACACUGGUAUAACUCAAACAUUUCAACUGUCUCCCUGACAGGGAUAACAGAUGCUGACAUUAUCAAAUGCUGUACUAUUUUUUUCCCAUGGCCUCUCCUUGCCCCGAUAUGGCCAGUAUAUGAAACUGAACUGCCAUCCAAAAACACACUUGAGCAACUGGAUCUGCUAAACAGCUCCCAUAUAACUAGUAAAAAUAGAAGCCAGUAUUAUUGCUAUCUUCAGCACUUAAGUUUAGGCAGUUUAACACCUGUUUCACUUCUACUAGAAAAAAUGAUGAAAAAGAAUUGUAGUUAAUUUCACCAGCAGUAUGAUACUUACCAACCAACAGACGCAGAAUAUACUUAGUGUAAGAGUCAUUUGCAUACUGCCUGAAUUAGCGUUGACCUCUCAGUUUAAAAUAGUAACUGUAAAGAAUAUUUCUCUACUCUAUAUUUCUCUGAGAGCACUUAACUUUAUAGGCAAAUUAUAAUUUAUCAAACUUUUAUUUUAUGCAAGAAGACACCCCUCUCAAGACAUUGAAAUCAACAGUAAAACCACAUUAUAACAAAAAUUUACUCUGAUUUUUCAAGUAUUAUCCACACAAUAGAUUUUAAUACUUGUAUCCAUGGAUUGUAACUAACCACCAUGUAUUACUAAGGCGAUAAUGAGAAGUAACUUGGCAAUCUGUACCCAAAAUGACAAAGAACUUAGUCAAGGAAAUAGACCUUUAAAAGGGUUAAAUUACUAAGCUAUGAUUAGUAACACCACGUAAGCAAAAACAAAGAAAAACUGGCAUGCAUGGUAGUUCCUUUCGACACAAGUCCAAGCAAUACACUGAAUACACAUGUGAUCUAUUUAUAAAUCAAAGGGCAGAGGUACUUUCUUAAGGCCACUGAUAUUCCUACACCCAUCAACAAUUUGCUAUUAGCCCUCAACUAUAAUGCUAAAAGAAGCAGUGGCAGUAGAAGGGGGUGACUAACUGAACUCUUCCCCAACCUUUUAGCUUAACUAUUUAUCUGGUUUGCUGCCUAGAGAUAAAUGGAAAACAUUACUCUAAAAUACAUCAAGGUCUAUUUGUUCCUUUAAAUACUAUUGGUUUUGAAAUAGCUUAUUGUCUACAUGUAAGAAUUAAGCAAAGACUUCGGCUGUGGACAAGAUUAGAAAAAGAAAAAGAAGCAAAGAUGUUGAAAACAAAGACGUACAUUGAUCAUUCCUUAAUGCAGUAAUGUGUUAAAAGGAAAAGAUUUUUAAACCAUUAAGCGCAGGAAAACAGUAGGAAAGUGACUUCAAAAUGGAAAAUUUGACAUUCAGUGACUGAAGCAUUGGUAUGAUAAUUUCUAACACUUGUAGAAGGUCCAUGACUGUAAUUUUACCAAUGAAAAGCAUUUAACUGUUUUGGAUUCCAAACUAGCAGCACUACAAUGCUUUGCUAGAGCUGGUAAAAUGGAACCAAAUCGCCUCUUCAAUGGAUUUGGUCCCCUUCAACCAGCUGUAGCUAUGCAUUGAUUACUACGGGACAACCAACGUUUUCAUUUGUGAAUAUCAAUUACUUGCCAACUAAUUUCAACUUAUUUACAUUAUGCAGACUGUGAUUAUAAUCAAAUAACUUGUUACUGUUAAUUCUACCUGGAAAAGCUAGAAUGGUUAAAGAUGUUUAUAAAAAGCUUUAUGAAAAAUGUAUGGAUGACUUAAGGAUUUCAAAUAAAAAUUUUACUUA